rnacentral:rRNA from 1 species
GACGAACGCUGGCGGCGUGCUUAACACAUGCAAGUCGAACGGAAAGGCCCUGCUUUUGUGGGGUGCUCGAGUGUCGAACGGGUGAUUAACACGUGAGUAACCUGCCCUUUACUUUGGGAUAACUUCAGGAAACUCGGGCUAAUACCCGAUAGGAGCUCCUGCUGCAUGGUGGGGGUUGGAAAGUUUCGGCGGUUGGGGAUGGACUCGCGGCGUAUCAGCUUGUUGGUGGGGUAGUGGCUUACCAAGGCUUUGACGGGUAGCCGGCCUGAGAGGGUGAACGGCAAAAUUGGGACUGAGGGAGGGCCCAGAAUCAUAAGGGAGGCAACAGUGGGGAAUAUGACACAAAGGGCGGAAGCCAGAUGCAGAGACACCGAGUGCGGGAUGACGGCCUUCGAGUUGUAAACCGCUUUCGCCUGUGAAGGAGAGUGAGUGAAGGUAAUGGGUAAAGAAGCAACGGCUAACUACGUG